GCAAGAGGACUCUAAUAGUGC
rnacentral:siRNA from 1 species